AUGGGGAUGGCUCAGCGUCGACGGGUAGCCGGCCUGAGAGGGUGAUCGGCCACAUUGGGACUGAGAUACGGCCCAGACUCCUACGGGAGGCAGCAGUGGGGAAUAUUGCACAAUGGGCGGAAGCCUGAUGCAGCGACGCCGCGUGGGGGAUGACGGCCUUCGGGUUGUAAACCCCUUUCGGCAGGGACGAAGCGUAAGUGACGGUACCUGCAGAAGAAGCACCGGCUAACUACGUGCAGCAGCCGCGGG
rnacentral:rRNA from 1 species